rnacentral:rRNA from 1 species
UACCAGCACCCCGAGUGGUCGGGACGAUAUUGGGCCUAAAGCAUCCGUAGCCGGUUUUACAAGUCCUCCGUUAAAUCCAGCUGCUUAACAGAUGGGCUGCGAAGGAUACUAUAAGACUAGGAGGCAGGAGAGGCAAGCGGUACUCAGUGGGUAGGGGUAAAAUCCGUUGAUCCAUUGAAGACCACCAGUGGCGAAGGCGGCUUGCCAGAAUGCGCUCGACGGUGAGGGAUGAAAGCUGGGGGAGCAACCGGG